rnacentral:rRNA from 1 species
UACAGAGGUCCCAAGCGUUGUUCGGAUUCACUGGGCGUAAAGGGUGCGUAGGUGGUUAGGUAAGUCCGAUGUGAAAGCCCCCGGCUCAACUGGGGAGGGUCAUCGGUAACGGUCGUGCUAUGAGUGCAGGAGAGGGAAGUGGAACUCCGGGAGUAGCGGUGAAAUGCGUAGAGACCCGGAGGAACACCAGUGGCGAAGGCGGCUUCCUGGUCUGCGACUGACGCUGUGGCGCGAAAGCUAGGGGAGCAAACGGG